ACGCUGGCGGCGUGCCUAAUACAUGCAAGUCGAACGCACAGCGAAAGGUGCUUGCACCUUUCAAGUGAGUGGCGAACGGGUGAGUAACACGUGGACAACCUGCCUCAAGGCUGGGGAUAACAUUUGGAAACAGAUGCUAAUACCGAAUAAAACUUAGUGUCGCAUGACACAAAGUUAAAAGGCGCUUCGGCGUCACCUAGAGAUGGAUCCGCGGUGCAUUAGUUAGUUGGUGGGGUAAAGGCCUACCAAGACAAUGAUGCAUAGCCGAGUUGAGAGACUGAUCGGCCACAUUGGGACUGAGACACGGCCCAAACUCCUACGGGAGGCUGCAGUAGGGAAUCUUCCACAAUGGGCGAAAGCCUGAUGGAGCAACGCCGCGUGUGUGAUGAAGGCUUUCGGGUCGUAAAGCACUGUUGUAUGGGAAGAACAGCUAGAAUAGGAAAUGAUUUUAGUUUGACGGUACCAUACCAGAAAGGGACGGCUAAAUACGUGCCAGCAGCCGCGGUGAUACGUAUGUCCCGAGCGUUAUCCGGAUUUAUUGGGCGUAAAGCGAGCGCAGACGGUUUAUUAAGUCUGAUGUGAAAGCCCGGAGCUCAACUCCGGAAUGGCAUUGGAAACUGGUUAACUUGAGUGCAGUAGAGGUAAGUGGAACUCCAUGUGUAGCGGUGAAAUGCGUAGAUAUAUGGAAGAACACCAGUGGCGAAGGCGGCUUACUGGACUGCAACCGACGUUGAGGCUCGAAAGUGUGGGUAGCAAAC
rnacentral:rRNA from 1 species